rnacentral:tRNA from 1 species
CGCGGGAUGGAGCAGUUGGUAGCUCGUCGGGCUCAUAACCCGAAGGCCGCAGGUUCGAGUCCUGCUCCCGCUA